rnacentral:rRNA from 1 species
CUACGGGUUGCUGCAGUGGGGAAUAUUGGACAAUGGGCGCAAGCCUGAUCCAGCAAUGCCGCGUGUGUGAAGAAGGCCUGCGGGUUGUAAAGCACUUUCAGUAGGGAAGAAAAGCGAGAGGUUAAUACCCUCGAGCCGUGACGUUACCUACAGAAGAAGCACCGGCUAACUCCGUGCCAGCAGCCGCGGUAAUACGGAGGGUGCGAGCGUUAAUCGGAAUUACUGGGCGUAAAGCGCGCGUAGGUGGUUUGGUAAGUCGGAUGUGAAAGCCCCGGGCUUAACCUGGGAAUUGCAUUCGAUACUGCCUUACUCGAGUGUGGUAGAGGGUAGCGGAAUUCCUGGUGUAGCGGUGAAAUGCGUAGAUAUCAGGAGGAACAUCAGUGGCGAAGGCGGCUAUCUGGACCAACACUGACGCUGAGGUGCGAAAGCGUGGGUAGCAAACAGGAUUAGAUACCCGAGUAGUC